GGACCCGCACAAGCGGUGGAGCAUGUGGUUUAAUUCGAUGCAACGCGAAAAACCUUACCUAUACUUGACAUACCUGGAAUGCUUUGUAAUGAAGCAGUGCCUUCGGGAGCCAGGAUACAGGUGCUGCAUGGCUGUCGUCAGCUCGUGUCGUGAGAUGUUCCGUUAAGUCGGAUAACGAGCGCAACCCUUACCCUUAUUUGCCAGCGAUUCGGUCGGGAACUAUAAGGGGACUGCCGGUGAUAAACCGGAGGAAGGUGAGGACGACGUCAAGUCAUCAUGGCCCUUACGUAUAGGGCUACACACGUGCUACAAUGGAGAAUACAGACGGCGCUAAGCCGCGAGGUGGUGCCC
rnacentral:rRNA from 1 species